rnacentral:rRNA from 2 species
UACGGGGGGUGCAAGCGUUGUUCGGAAUUAUUGGGCGUAAAGCGCGUGUAGGCGGUCUGAUUAGUCUGAUGUGAAAGCCCUGGGCUCAACCCAGGAAGUGCAUUGGAUACUGUCAGACUUGAAUACGGGAGAGGGUAGUGGAAUUCCUAGUGUAGGAGUGAAAUCCGUAGAUAUUAGGAGGAACACCGGUGGCGAAGGCGGCUACCUGGACCGAUAUUGACGCUGAGACGCGAAAGCGUGGGUAGCAAACAGG